rnacentral:tRNA from 1 species
GGGGCGGUAGCUCAGUCGGUCAGAGCAGAGGACUCAUAAUCGUUGGAUCGUGGGUUCAAGUCCCACCCGGCCUA